rnacentral:tRNA from 1 species
GGUCCGGUAGCUCAGCUGGAUAGAGCAACAGCCUUCUAAGCUGUGGGUCUUGGGUUCGAGUCCCAACCGGAUCA